UCUUUUAUGACCAGGUUUGGUCCUAACUUCCAAUUUCAAGCAGCCAAAAUUCAAUUUUCCCUGCAAUCAAAUUCUACCAAUAAUCAUCCCACUAUAUUUUUCAAUUCCAUAAGAAACCCAAGCCCAAUUUCAAUUCCACUUUUCAGCAUUACACAAAGUAGCAGACGAAUCCGACGCCCUUAGGUGUCUUCACCUUCAUAGCAAGAACCCAGAAGUCGCGUCCAACAACAUACGCGACCCCACUACCCCAAUAUUGUCUUCUUCACGCAAAAAUCCCAGCAAGAUCGAAAAAUCCCACCAAAUCGCGGAAAUCCAGUACCCCUAUCCAAAAGAGAACUUGAAAGUUGAAUUCAAACUCUUCCUUUCAAUUCGAUUUCCCUCCAAGAAUGAUUUUCUUUUCCCCUAUAUAAACUCUCAAGCAGUCAAUGUUUGAGGGGCUGGUAAUGAAAAAAAAGUUUUUCAAAGGGGGAAAAGAUUGGGAUUUUGAGUCAUAUAUGAAAAUAGCUUACAAUUCUCUAAUCUCAAAUUCCGAAAUGUUCACCACUUAGGUUCUUCCUGGGGAUUCUUGGUUUGUUCUUCAUAUUCGAAUUGCAUGAGUCCAGCGACAUUGAGUGCUAUCUUUGAUGCUAGGUUCUUAGAAGGAGAAAGAAGUUGAAGACUUGAUAUCUUUUUUUGUCUGUGACUAGUGGUUAUCGAUCUGAUUGGCUUUAUUAAAAGUUUAUUAGGGAUGGCAAUGGGGAAGGUCAAAAGCAAGGCAAGGAAGGGAAAUACUUAAACGGGGCAGCGGGGAGUAGGCAGCGCGGGACAUAGGAAAAAUAUGAAGAAAUAUUGCAGAAAAAAAUAGUGUCUCAAGCUGAUAUUGAUUAAUGUGAAGUAUUUUAUCAAGCUAUGGGGGAGAAAAGAAGAGAAGAAUAUAUGGUACGGUCUCGGUUCUGAAGCAACAGUUACUACGGGCAAAAACUUUUUGCCUCAUCAUCAGUACUUCCUUCAAUUUCUCGAUCAACAACGAUAACAAAUAUGGAUGAGUUUGUAAAGCAAAUGCAUUAUGCCCUUAUUAAUUACUUUCUUCCCGUUAUUAUAGGGAGAGUACAAGAAAGGAGUACUCCCAUUGAAAACCCAUCAACAGUUACACCCUUAGUGCCUCUUUCAGCUACUACUAAUGAGAACGAGAUUGAUCCUUAAUUAGUUUCAUGUGAAAAUCGUAUCCCUUUUUAAUUAUAUUGUUUGUUUUUUGAAAGUACAAAUUCUACAGUAACAAUAUUUGAUGAAUGUAGGUUCUUUUGAGAACAGUUGAUAUUUUAUUUUGGAUGUUUAAUUGAAAAUAUUAGAUUUUGAUAUUCUUUA